GUUUUUAUUGCAAUUGUGUGCAUGAUAUAUUUGAUAAGUUGCAUCUAUUUGGUGAACAAUGAUGAUCAGGUGCCGAAUUUGAGUGGGAAGAGAAAGAGAUUGAAAUGGUAUUUUGUGGGGCCACUAGGAAAUGUUAAUGGGUUUUAUUGCAUUGAUAUAUAUAUAUAUAUAUAUAUAUAUAUAUAUAUGGUGUAUCUAUUAAAGCAAAAUGGAGUGAUUAAUUUGUGAUGAUUAAGGAAAAAGUAAAAACAAAAUAUUGAAAUUGUAAUGGGGCCCACUAAUUGAUUCUUUGUUGGCAAUUAUUCUUUUUCUUGGACUCUCACGUGGCCAUGUUUCUCUUUGGUAGCUGGGCGUUGUGUUUUAUCAGAGACAUUGUAUGUUGAAUAAAAUGAAUUGAGAUGAUAAGGUAAAGGACAGUGGUGGCGGGUCCACUUGUUUUUCUUUUAAUUGUCCUUUGAUAUAUUAUGUCGGUAGAAUGCUUUAUAAAUAUUGAGUAUCUGUUACUUGAUGAGAAUGAUAUACAGAAUGAGAAAAAUAGAGGAAAAAUUACAGAGAGUUUAGAGAUACAGAGAGUGAGCCGAGAGGGCUGAGUAUUUGAUGCAAGCUUGGAUGAUCCAGUGCGGAUUUAUUUUGCAGUGUGGGGAUCAUCAUACUUUGAAUGUUUCAGGUACCGAGGAUGAACUUGGAUUGCUAGUAGCGGGCUUAGGUGGAAAAGUUGGUGUUGAGAAUUAAUUAUUUAUUUUAGAGAUGUUGUAUUAAUUAUUUGAGGAAAUUGAUUUUGUAUCAAUAAAAUGAUAUUUCUUUUUGAGAUCCUGGUGUAAUACUGAUGUGUUUGGAUUUGUAUAAAUCGAGAAUUUUAUUUGGAAUUUUCGGGACUUGACAGAAUGGUAUCAAAGCCUUUACCCAGUCGGAAGUGUGAGUUUAGUGAUGAUGUUGUUAGGUGUGUGUGGGCGAGUGUUUAGUUCUGACUAGCUACCACUCGUAGCCGGGUGUGUGUGUCCGGAUGUCGUUCACUGGCAGCUACUAGAAUGAUUACUAUCGGUGAUUAGGGGCAAGUGUCCCUAGAUCACUAUCGGUUUUAUUUUGUGGGCAGGUGACGGCAUCGUCUAGUUAUCACAACGGUUAUAGAGUGUGUGAACGGGUAACUAGCACUGUCAGCUACCACAACAUUUUUCAUGUCACUAAAUUUCACAUCACCUAGGGUAAGGAUUUUUGAAUUUUGUUUUGCCACUUUUGAUGUUUUCGGGUAUGCGAAGAUUGUUGGAUCUGAAUUUCGGGACGAAAUUCUUUUUAAGUGGUGGAGAAUGUGACAACCAGGAUUUUUUUAAGAAUUGAAAUUCAAUUAUUUUAUAAUUUAUAGUUGUUAAAAUUAAUUAUUUUAUUUUAAUUAGAGACUUCCCAAUUAGAGAUUGGCUCAUUGAUUAUUAAAUUGGAGACUGAUUCAUGUUUUUCAAUUUAAUGAAAUUGAUUUUUUAGCAUCUAGGGGAGAGAAGUCAUGGGUGCCGAAAUUGGUGAAAGGAAACUUGAUUGGAUUUUGGUUUUUAUUGCAAUUGUGUGCAUGUUAUAUUUGAUAAGUUGCAUCUGUUUGGUGAGCAAUGAUGAUCAGGUGCCGAAUUUGAGUGGGAGAGAAAGAGAUUGAAAUGGUAUUUUGUGGGGCCACUAGGAAAUGUUAAUGGGUUUUAUUGCAUCGAUAUAUAUAUAUGGUGCAUCUGUUAAAGCAAAAUGGAGUGAUUAAUUUGUGAUGAUGAAGGAAAAAGCAAAAACAAAAUAUUGAAAUUGUAAUGGGGCCCACUAAUUGAUUCUUUUUUGGUAAUUAUUCUUUUUCUUGGACUCUCACGUGGCCAUGUUUCUCUUUGGUAGCUGGGCUUUGUGUUUUAUCAGAGACAUUGUAUGUUGAAUAAAAUGAAUUGAGAUGAUAAGGUAAAGGACGGUGGUGGCGGGUCCACUUGUUUUUCUUUUAAUUGUCCUUUGAUAUUUUAUGUCGGUAGAAUGCUUUAUAAAUAUUGAGUGUCUGUUACUUAAUGAGAAUGAUAUACAGAAUGAGAAAAAUAGAGGAAAAAUUACAGAGAGUUUAGAGAUACAGAGAGAGAGCCGAGAGGGCUGAGUAUUCGAUGCAAGCUUGGAUGAUCCAGUGCGGAUUUAUUUUGCAGUGUACGGAUCUUCAUACCUUGAAUGGUUUGGAUGAUUUUAUUUCAAAUAUUUUGUUGAUUGUUAUUUUGUUAAAUUUGCAUAUAUGUAUUUUGUUUAAAAGUAUAUAUAUAUAUUUGUGAAGCAAAUUUAUCAUGAAACUCUUUGAAAUACUUGUUAUGGUUUUUCCUACUGUCUCAGCCCCCUACAAUUUCAAGUACCGAGGAUGAACUUGGAUUGCUAGUAGCGGGCUUAGGUGGAAGAGUUGGUGUUGAGGAUUAAUUAUUUAUUUUAGAGAUGUUGUAUUAAUUUUUUGAGGAAAUUGAUUUUGUAUCAAUAAAAUGAUAUUUCUUUUUGAGAUGCUGGGUGUAAUACUGAUGUGUUUGGAUUUGUAUAAAUCGAGGAUUUUAUUUGGAAUUUUCGGGACGUGACAGAAAGGUAUCAGAGCAUGUACCCAGUCGGAAGCGUGAGUUUAGUGAUGAUGUUGUUGGGUGUGUGUGGACGAGUGUUUAGUUCUGACUAGCUACCACUCGUAGUCGGGUGCGUGUGUCUGGAUGUCGCUCACUGGCAGCUACUAGAAUGAUUACUAUCGGUGAUUAGGGGCAAGUGUCCCUAGAUCACUAUAGGUUUUAUUUUGUGGGCGGGUGACGGCAUCGUCUAGUUACCACAACGGUUAUAGAGUGUGUGGGCGGGUAACUAGCACUGUUAGCUACCACAACAUUUUUCAUAUCACUGAAUUUCACAUCGCCUGGGGUAAGAAUUUUUGGAUUUUAUUUUGCCACUUUUGAUGUUUUCGGGUAUGCGAAGAUUGUUGGAUCUGAAUUUCGGGACGAAAUUUUUUUUAAGUAGUGGAGAAUGUGACAACCCAGAUUUUUUUGAGAAUUGAAAUUCAAUUAUUUUAUAAUUUUUAGUUGUUAAAAUUAAUUAAUUUAAUUAGAGACUUCCCAAUUAGAGAUUGGCUCACUGAUUAUUAAAUUGGAGACUGAUUCAUGUUUUUCAAUUUAAUGAAAUUGAUUUUUUAGCAUCUAGGGGAGAGAAGUCAUGGGUGCCGAAAUUGGUGAAAGGAAACUUGAUUGGAUUUUGGUUUCUAUUGCAAUUGUGUGCAUGAUAUAUUUGAUAAGUUGCAUCUGUUUGGUGAACAAUGAUGAUCUGGUGCCGAAUUUGAGUGGGAAGAGAAAGAGAUUGAAAUGGUAUUUUGUGGGGCCACGAGGAAAUGUUAAUGGGUUUUAUUGCAUUGAUAUAUAUAUAUAUAUAUAUAUAUAUAUAUAUAUAUGUGGUGUAUCUGUUAAAGCAAAAUGGAGUGAUUAAUUUGUGAUGAUGAAGGAAAAAGCAAAAACAAAAUAUUGAAAUUGUAAUGGGGCCCACUAAUUGAUUCUUUGUUGGCAAUUAUUAUUUUUCUUGGACUCUAACGUGGCCAUGUUUCUCUUUGGUAGCUGGGCUUUGUGUUUUAUCAGAGACAUUGUAUGUUGAAUAAAAUGAAUUGAGAUGAUAAGGUAAAGGACGGUGGUAGCGGGUCCACUUGUUUUUCUUUUAAUUGUCCUUUGAUAUUUUAUGUCGGUAGAAUGCUUUAUAAAUAUUGAGUGUCUGUUACUUGAUGAGAAUGAUAUAUAGAAUGAGAAAAAUAGAAGAAAAAUUACGUGGAGUUUAGAGAUACAGAGAGAGAGCCGAGAGGGCUGAGUAUUUGAUGCAAGCUUGGAUGAUCCAGUACAGAUUUAUGUUGCACUGCAGGGAUCAUCAUACCUUGAAUGUUUCAGGUACCGAGAAUGAACUUGGAUUGCUAGUAGCGGGCUUAGGUGGAAGAGUUGGUGUUGAGGAUUAAUUAUUUAUUUUAGAGAUAUUGUAUUAAUUAUUUGAGGAAAAUGAUUUUGUAUCAAUAAAAUGAUAUUUUUUUUUGA